rnacentral:rRNA from 1 species
GGGUUGUGAGGUUAAGCGACUAAGCGUACACGGUGGAUGCCCUGGCAGUCAGAGGCGAUGAAGGACGUGCUAAUCUGCGAUAAGCGUCGGUAAGGUGAUAUGAACCGUUAUAACCGGCGAUUUCCGAAUGGGGAAACCCAGUGUGAUUCGUCACACUAUCAUUAACUGAAUCCAUAGGUUAAUGAGGCGAACCGGGGGAACUGAAACAUCUAAGUACCCCGAGGAAAAGAAAUCAACCGAGAUUCCCCCAGUAGCGGCGAGCGAACGGGGAGGAGCCCAGAGCCUGAAUCAGUGUGUGUGUUAGUGGAAGCGUCUGGAAAGGCGCGCGAUACAGGGUGACAGCCCCGUACACAAAAAUGCACAUGCUGUGAGCUCGAUGAGUAGGGCGGGACACGUGGUAUCCUGUCUGAAUAUGGGGGGACCAUCCUCCAAGGCUAAAUACUCCUGACUGACCGAUAGUGAACCAGUACCGUGAGGGAAAGGCGAAAAGAACCCCGGCGAGGGGAGUGAAAAAGAACCUGAAACCGUGUACGUACAAGCAGUGGGAGCACGCUUCGGCGUGUGACUGCGUACCUUUUGUAUAAUGGGUCAGCGACUUAUAUUCUGUAGCAAGGUUAACCGAAUAGGGGAGCCGAAGGGAAACCGAGUCUUAACUGGGCGUUAAGUUGCAGGGUAUAGACCCGAAACCCGGUGAUCUAGCCAUGGGCAGGUUGAAGGUUGGGUAACACUAACUGGAGGACCGAACCGACUAAUGUUGAAAAAUUAGCGGAUGACUUGUGGCUGGGGGUGAAAGGCCAAUCAAACCGGGAGAUAGCUGGUUCUCCCCGAAAGCUAUUUAGGUAGCGCCUCGUGAAUUCAUCUCCGGGGGUAGAGCACUGUUUCGGCAAGGGGGUCAUCCCGACUUACCAACCCGAUGCAAACUGCGAAUACCGGAGAAUGUUAUCACGGGAGACACACGGCGGGUGCUAACGUCCGUCGUGAAGAGGGAAACAACCCAGACCGCCAGCUAAGGUCCCAAAGUCAUGGUUAAGUGGGAAACGAUGUGGGAAGGCCCAGACAGCCAGGAUGUUGGCUUAGAAGCAGCCAUCAUUUAAAGAAAGCGUAAUAGCUCACUGGUCGAGUCGGCCUGCGCGGAAGAUGUAACGGGGCUAAACCAUGCACCGAAGCUGCGGCAGCGACACUAUGUGUUGUUGGGUAGGGGAGCGUUCUGUAAGCCUGUGAAGGUGUACUGUGAGGUAUGCUGGAGGUAUCAGAAGUGCGAAUGCUGACAUAAGUAACGAUAAAGCGGGUGAAAAGCCCGCUCGCCGGAAGACCAAGGGUUCCUGUCCAACGUUAAUCGGGGCAGGGUGAGUCGACCCCUAAGGCGAGGCCGAAAGGCGUAGUCGAUGGGAAACAGGUUAAUAUUCCUGUACUUGGUGUUACUGCGAAGGGGGGACGGAGAAGGCUAUGUUGGCCGGGCGACGGUUGUCCCGGUUUAAGCGUGUAGGCUGGUUUUCCAGGCAAAUCCGGAAAAUCAAGGCUGAGGCGUGAUGACGAGGCACUACGGUGCUGAAGCAACAAAUGCCCUGCUUCCAGGAAAAGCCUCUAAGCAUCAGGUAACAUCAAAUCGUACCCCAAACCGACACAGGUGGUCAGGUAGAGAAUACCAAGGCGCUUGAGAGAACUCGGGUGAAGGAACUAGGCAAAAUGGUGCCGUAACUUCGGGAGAAGGCACGCUGAUAUGUAGGUGAAGUCCCUCGCGGAUGGAGCUGAAAUCAGUCGAAGAUACCAGCUGGCUGCAACUGUUUAUUAAAAACACAGCACUGUGCAAACACGAAAGUGGACGUAUACGGUGUGACGCCUGCCCGGUGCCGGAAGGUUAAUUGAUGGGGUCAGCGGUAACGCGAAGCUCUUGAUCGAAGCCCCGGUAAACGGCGGCCGUAACUAUAACGGUCCUAAGGUAGCGAAAUUCCUUGUCGGGUAAGUUCCGACCUGCACGAAUGGCGUAAUGAUGGCCAGGCUGUCUCCACCCGAGACUCAGUGAAAUUGAACUCGCUGUGAAGAUGCAGUGUACCCGCGGCAAGACGGAAAGACCCCGUGAACCUUUACUAUAGCUUGACACUGAACAUUGAGCCUUGAUGUGUAGGAUAGGUGGGAGGCUUUGAAGUGUGGACGCCAGUCUGCAUGGAGCCGACCUUGAAAUACCACCCUUUAAUGUUUGAUGUUCUAACGUUGACCCGUUAUCCGGGUUGCGGACAGUGUCUGGUGGGUAGUUUGACUGGGGCGGUCUCCUCCUAAAGAGUAACGGAGGAGCACGAAGGUUGGCUAAUCCUGGUCGGACAUCAGGAGGUUAGUGCAAUGGCAUAAGCCAGCUUGACUGCGAGCGUGACGGCGCGAGCAGGUGCGAAAGCAGGUCAUAGUGAUCCGGUGGUUCUGAAUGGAAGGGCCAUCGCUCAACGGAUAAAAGGUACUCCGGGGAUAACAGGCUGAUACCGCCCAAGAGUUCAUAUCGACGGCGGUGUUUGGCACCUCGAUGUCGGCUCAUCACAUCCUGGGGCUGAAGUAGGUCCCAAGGGUAUGGCUGUUCGCCAUUUAAAGUGGUACGCGAGCUGGGUUUAGAACGUCGUGAGACAGUUCGGUCCCUAUCUGCCGUGGGCGCUGGAGAACUGAGGGGGGCUGCUCCUAGUACGAGAGGACCGGAGUGGACGCAUCACUGGUGUUCGGGUUGUCAUGCCAAUGGCACUGCCCGGUAGCUAAAUGCGGAAGAGAUAAGUGCUGAAAGCAUCUAAGCACGAAACUUGCCCCGAGAUGAGUUCUCCCUGACUCCUUGAGAGUCCUGAAGGAACGUUGAAGACGACGACGUUGAUAGGCCGGGUGUGUAAGCGCAGCGAUGCGUUGAGCUAACCGGUACUAAUGAACCGUGAGGCUUAACCUUACAACGCCGAAG